AUGAUCCAAAUCUCAUCCAAGAUCCAAACACUGUCCAAGAUCCAAACUCAUCCAAGGUCCAACCCUCAUCUAAGAUCCAACCAUCCAAGAUCCAAUCAUUAUCCAAGUUCCAACCAUCAUUCAACAUCCAAACACUGUCCAAGGUCCAGCCAUGAUCCAAGGUCCAGCUGUGACCCAAAAUCCAAACACUGUCCAAGAUCCAGCCCUCGUCCAAGAUCCAACCAUCAUCCAAGAUCCAACCAUCAUCCAAGAUCCAGGAACCGCUCCAAUCCUCUCAGGAACUCACCGCCAGCAGCGCCAUUUUCCAAACCUGAUCCCAAACCCCUCCCAAAGUGUCUCUGGAAGAACCGGUCCCGACCAUCCCGGCUUCCCGCUCUCCGUGGCGGCGCCGUUCCCGGCGGGAAGCUACGUCAGCUUCCUGAUCCUGCGGUUGUGCCGGUCGAUGGUGAGCGUGGCGCGAUCCACGGAGCUGCUGAUGGAGUCCAGGGCCUCGUCCUGCCGCUCCAGCUCCGCCUCCGUCUCCAGGGCCAGGCCCUUCAGCUUCCUCAGGAUCUGCCCGAGGGAAACACGGAGAGCUCGCCGUGAGGGCUUGGGAGCAGCGGGAAAAUUCAUGGAAUGACAUCCCAAAAUCCCAAAAUUUGGGGGCUUGGGAGCAGUGGGAAAAUUCAUGGAAUGACAUCCCAGAAUUUGAGGGCUUGGGAGCAGUGGGAUAAUUCAUGGAAUGACAUCCCAGAAUUUGGGGGCUUGGGAGCAGUGGGAUAAUUCAUGGAGUGACAUCCCAGAAUUUGGGGGCUUGGGAGCAGUGGGAAAAUUCAUGGACUGAUAUCCCAGAAUCCCAGAAUUUGGGUGGGAAGGGACUGUAAGGAUCAUCCAGUUCCAAGCAGGAACAGCUCCCACCAUCCCAUGUGGAUCCAACCUGGCCUUGGACAUUCCAUGGAUCCAGGGGCAGCCACAGCUGCUCUGGG
rnacentral:lncRNA from 1 species